rnacentral:rRNA from 1 species
UACGUAGGGGGCAAGCGUUGUCCUGAAUCAUUGGGCGAAAAGCGCGUGUAGGCGGCCCGAUAAGUCCGCUGUGAAAGUCCAGGGCUCAACCCUGGGAUGCCGGUGGAUACUGUCGGGCUCGAGUCCGGAAGAGGCGAGUGGAAUUCCUGGUGUAGCGGUGAAAUGCGCAGAUAUCAGGAGGAACACCAAUGGCGAAGGCAGCUCGCUGGGACGUGACUGACGCUGAGGCGCGAAAGCGUGGGGAGCGAACAGG